rnacentral:lncRNA from 1 species
GACCGUGAUCUAAACAGACACAAAGACACCAUUCAGAAGUCACAGCAAGCCAGGGACAGAUUUAGGCCACUGUAGGGAAGAUGGACUGACAGUUACCAGCACAAUAAUCCCAGGGCUCAGGAGGCUGAGACAAAAGGGUCACAGGGUCAAAGCUAGCCUGAGCUACAUAGCAAAGCCCUCACUCAGAAACAGAUAAGCAUCUAGAUACAGUGGCUCUUGAUUCUAGUGGCAGAAUUUGCACUUCAAAGGCUGAAACAGGAGGAUUGCUGUGGCCUUGAGGCUAGCCUGGGCUACAUAUUGAAUUCUAAGAAAGCCUAAGCUAUCUCAAAAAAACAAACCAACAACAAAGAUGACAGCUGCCACUAAGUCUUUUUAUUCUGUGACAUUUACUUAUUCGGGGGGGGGGUGUGUAUGUGUCAUGGUGAACAUGUGGAUGUCAGAGGACAAUUUAAAAUGAUUCUUGCCUUCAACCCUGUCCUGGGGAUCAAAACAAGGUCAAAGUCCUUGAUGAGCAGGCAGAGCACUGUAUAUAUAAUAAAACCUUUUUUAAAAACAA